rnacentral:rRNA from 1 species
GUAGUCCACGCUGUAAACGUUGGGCGCUAGGUGUGGGGGACCUCUCCGGUUCUCUGUGCCGCAGCUAACGCAUUAAGCGCCCCGCCUGGGGAGUACGGCCGCAAGGCUAAAGCUCAAAGGAAUUGACGGGGGCCCGCACAAGCGGCGGAGCAUGCGGAUUAAUUCGAUGCAACGCGAAGAACCUUACCUGGGUUUGACAUCGCCGGAAGACUCGUAGAGAUACGGGGUCCUUCGGGGCCGGUGACAGGUGGUGCAUGGCUGUCGUCAGCUCGUGUCGUGAGAUGUUGGGUUAAGUCCCGCAACGAGCGCAACCCUCGUUCGAUGUUGCCAGCGCGUCAUGGCGGGGACUCAUCGAAGACUGCCGGGGUCAACUCGGAGGAAGGUGGGGAUGACGUCAAGUCAUCAUGCCCCUUAUGUCCAGGGCUUCACGCAUGCUACAAUGGCCGGUACAAAGGGUUGCGAUGCCGUGAGGUGGAGCGAAUCCCAAAAAGCCGGUCUCAGUUCGGAUCGGGGUCUGCAACUCGACCCCGUGAAGUCGGAGUCGCUAGUAAUCGCAGAUCAGCAACGCUGCGGUGAAUA